ACGCACGUGUGAAACUUGAAGGAAUUGACGGAAGGGCACCACAAGAACGCGUGGAGCAUGUGGCUUAAUUUGACCCAACGCGGGAAAUCUUACCGGGUCCGGACACACUGAGGAUUGACAGGCAAUAUUAAAUAAAGAAAAUUUUUGGACUAUCUGAUAUUUAUGUUAAAUAUGCUAGUCCUUUCAUGAUUAUGUGAUAGGUGGUGCAUGGCCGUUCUUAGUUCGUGGAGUGAUCUGUCUGCUUAAUUGCGUUUCACUAAGGGCUUAUCUAAUUAUAACGUGUGUUGCUAGAGUUUUAUACCUUUGUGACCCCUUUAAUUAGUGUGUGUCUAUAAUGGUAGCUUUGGCUCACACAAUUAAGUCCUGAAAGCAACGAACGUGACG
rnacentral:rRNA from 1 species